AGAAUGAACGCUGGCGGCAGGCCUAACACAUGCAAGUCGAACGGGUACCUUCGGGUACUAGUGGCGGACGGGUGAGUAACGCGUGGGAACAUACCCUUUGGUACGGAAUAGCCUCGGGAAACUGAGAGUAAUACCGUAUGUGCCCUUCGGGGGAAAGAUUUAUCGCCAAAGGAUUGGCCCGCGUUGGAUUAGGUAGUUGGUGGGGUAAUGGCCUACCAAGCCGACGAUCCAUAGCUGGUUUGAGAGGAUGAUCAGCCACACUGGGACUGAGACACGGCCCAGACUCCUACGGGAGGCAGCAGUGGGGAAUCUUAGACAAUGGGGGAAACCCUGAUCUAGCCAUGCCGCGUGAUCGAUGAAGGCCUUAGGGUUGUAAAGAUCUUUCAGAUGGGAAGAUAAUGACGGUACCAUCAGAAGAGCCCGGCUAACUCCGCGCCAGCAGCCGAC
rnacentral:rRNA from 1 species